GGUUCUUUCUCCCAGCAUCACUUAUUAAUGCUAAUUAGUCAAGGGUGUGCCAUGAUGCAGAACACUUGUGACCCAUAAGGAUUAGAGAGAGACUGUCAUUUCUCAAAUGACCCACGAGAGGCAGCCAGAGGCAGUGACGGGGAAGGAGAGGAGGGGAAGAGGAACUUCUCUGCAAAGAAUCGCACUAAAGUUCACCUGGGAUCUCCCAAAUAUGCAAUCUCACUUCUAAGAAUCUGUCUUAUAAGAAUAAAAACACCAGGACAUAAUGAUAUUUUCAAAAGGAUAUUAUUUUACCAUGUUUCAAGACAAGGUUUUGCUGUGUCACCCAGGCUGGGAUGCAGUGGUGCAAUCAUAAAUCACUGCAGGCUUGAACUCCUGGGCUUAAGCUGAAGUGCAAUGGCAUAAUCUCGGCUCACCACAACCUCCGCCUCCCAGGUUCAAGUGUUUCUCCUGCCUCAGCCUCCUGAGUAGCUGGGAUUACAAGCAUGCGCUACCAUGCCUGGCUAGACAAUUUUAAAAAAAAUAAAAACUGGAGUUCUGG
rnacentral:lncRNA from 1 species